rnacentral:rRNA from 1 species
GACGAACGCUGGCGGCGUGCUUAACACAUGCAAGUCGAACGGAAAGGCCCUGCUUUUGUGGGGUGCUCGCGUGGCGAACGGGUGAGUAACACGUGAGUAACCUGCCCUUGACUUUGGGAUAACUUCAGGCAACUGGGGCUAAUACCGGAUAGGAGCUCCUGCUGCAUGGUGGGGGCUGGAAAGUUUCGGCGGUUGGGGAUGGACUCGCGGCUUAUCAGCUUGUUGGGUGGGUAGUUGCUUACCCAGGCUUUGACGGGUAGCCGGCAUGAGAGGGUGGACGGGGACAAUGGGCCUGCGGGACGGCGCAGAGUCCUACGGGAGGCAGCAGGGGGGAAUAUUGCACAAUGGGCGGGAGCCUGAGGCAGCAACCCCGCGUGCGGGAUGACGGCCUUCGGGUUGGAAACCGCUUUCGCCUGUGACGAAGCGGGAGUGACGGUAAUGGGUAAAGAAGCACCGGCUAACUACGUG